rnacentral:rRNA from 1 species
ACCGGCGCACGGGUGCGUAACGCGUAUGCAAUCUACCUUUUACAGAGGGAUAGCCCAGAGAAAUUUGGAUUAAUACCUCAUAGUAUGUGAGAAUCGCAUGGUUUUCACAUUAAAGUUCCAACGGUAAAAGAUGAGCAUGCGUCCCAUUAGCUAGAUGGUAAGGUAACGGCUUACCAUGGCGACGAUGGGUAGGGGUCCUGAGAGGGAGAUCCCCCACACUGGUACUGAGACACGGACCAGACUCCUACGGGAGGCAGCAGUGAGGAAUAUUGGACAAUGGGCGCAAGCCUGAUCCAGCCAUGCCGCGUGCAGGAUGACGGUCCUAUGGAUUGUAAACUGCUUUUGUACAGGAAGAAACACUCCCUCGUGAGGGAGCUUGACGGUACUGUAAGAAUAAGGAUCGGCUAACUCCGUGCCAGCAGCCGCGGUAAUACGGAGGAUCCAAGCGUUAUCCGGAAUCAUUGGGUUUAAAGGGUCCGUAGGCGGUUUAAUAAGUCAGUGGUGAAAGCCCAUCGCUCAACGGUGGAACGGCCAUUGAUACUGUUAAACUUGAAUUAUUAGGAAGUAACUAGAAUAUGUAGUGUAGCGGUGAAAUGCUUAGAGAUUACAUGGAAUACCAAUUGCGAAGGCAGGUUACUACUAAUGGAUUGACGCUGGUGGACGAAAGCGUGGGUAGCGAACAGGAUUAGAUACCCUGGUAGUCCACGCCGUAAACGAUGGAUACUAGCUGUUGGGCGCAAGUUCAGUG